rnacentral:rRNA from 1 species
UACAGAGGUCUCAAGCGUUGUUCGGAUUCAUUGGGCGUAAAGGGUGCGUAGGCGGCGGGGCAAGUCAGGUGUGAAAUCCCGGAGCUCAACUCCGGAACUGCACUUGAUACUGCCUUGCUAGAGUACUGGAGAGGAGACUGGAAUUUACGGUGUAGCAGUGAAAUGCGUAGAUAUCGUAAGGAAGACCAGUGGCGAAGGCGGCAUCCUGGACCGGUAUUGACGCUGAGGCGCGAAAGCUAGGGGAGCAAACGGG